rnacentral:rRNA from 1 species
ACACGACUACAUUAGAUACCCGUGUAGUCCCAGCCGUAAACUAUGCUCGCUAGGUGUCAGGGACGGUGCGACCGUUUCUGGUGCCGCAGGGAAGCCGUGAAGCGAGCCACCUGGGAAGUACGGUCGCAAGGCUGAAACUUAAAGGAAUUGGCGGGGGAGCACCGCAACGGGAGGAGCGUGCGGUUUAAUUGGAUUCAACACCGUAAAACUCACCAGGGAAGACUGUUACAUGAAAGCCGAGUUGAAGACUCUGCUAGAUUUUCAG